rnacentral:rRNA from 1 species
CAGCAGCCACGGUAAUACGAAGGGUGCAAGCGUUACUCGGAAUUACUGGGCGUAAAGCGUGCGUAGGUGGUGGUUUAAGUCCGUUGUGAAAGCCCUGGGCUCAACCUGGGAAUUGCAGUGGAUACUGGGUCACUAGAGUGUGGUAGAGGAUAGUGGAAUUUCCGGUGUAGCAGUGAAAUGCGUAGAGAUCGGAAGGAACAUCUGUGGCGAAGGCGACUAUCUGGGCCAACACUGACACUGAGGCACGAAAGCGUGGGGAGCAAACAGGAUUAGAUACCCCAGUAGUCCCUGUCUCUUAUAA